AAGAACAUUACAAGUUGGACAUUUUGCUUUUGUGUGGUGAUUGCUAUACUGUGUUGAUUUGCGACUAUGAAGUACGCACUAGCCCCAAAAUAGGCCUUAAUAAGACCUUUCUUAUGAGCUUAUGCUUCUCGAGUUAUCAAAUUUCUGCAUUUUCUUUUUAUUCUCGCUUAACUGACUUUUUUUUUUCUAUACAGGAAUAAAGUGGGACGUCAACAGUAAUAAGAACGCCACCCAUGAAAGCAGAACCCCGGGCUCUCCAUUGGAACUUUAGAGUGGACCACCGCACCGGUACGACGGUCACCUGGAGGCCCAGGAGUCAUCAGGACAAAUAACUCUGAAUAUAUAUAAAUUAUAUCUAAUGUGUUUGUGAUGACGGAGCAAUUAUGUCAAAAUGAAACACAUAUUUAAAAAUGUUUUUUGUCUCUUGUUAGCAAUGUAUUCAUAAAAAACUUCACUUGGAUUUCUCUGCAUUCACCCAACCACAUCGGCAUGUAUACAGAGUGUGCUCCGCAAGACAAAAGAUUUUUUAUGUUGCUUGGCUCCCAAAAGAGUUCUUCAAUUCUAAUACGUACAAGGUGUGUUCGAAAAGAAACCAAACUUUUGCUUUAACAUCUUUAUUGCUUAUUGUACAACAUUUUAUGCAUGGCCCCUUCAAAGUAGUCCCCUCUUCUGGCAAUACAUUGUUCCUAUCAUCUCAUCCAUUUUUUGAAAGCCUCCUGGAACACUUUUUCUGGGAUGGCGCGUAGGUCUCGUGUCGCAUUGUCUUGAAAUUUCUUUUAUGGGUUGGAAACGACGUCCUUUCAACGUGAUUUUAAGUUCGGGAAACAGGAAAAAGGCUUCUUGGGCUAGGUC